UUGUAAGUAAAGUCUGAUGGGGUAAUGCAGCAUGUAAGUGAUGAGAGGAGAUAGGCACUGUAUCACAUUUCUUGUUUAUCACAUAUCGUCCUUGCCAUGCCCCAUGAGGACAGAAUUCUGGUGGAUCCACAAAGCCCAGAAGUUCAAUGGAACUCACAGCCAGUACGAGAUAAGUGUGUGAUGAAAGCCGCCAGCCAUUUUGACUGUUGGUAUAACGUGUGUGUAUUGAAAGGCCUCCAGGUGUCUGCAUUCUGAUCCUUGAAGAGUUCAUGGACCUAAGUUAAGAACCUCUCCUCAAGAGACUGAAUGCAGGCAGAGAUGGCUUAUUGGUUCAUCACAGAUUAAAAAACGAAGUCACAUGGAAGAUAAAUAACAUGCUCAACAUCACCCAGCCAGAAGUGGUGGAGACAUGGCCAACAUCACAGGGGACAACUCCUGAGCCUGUGCUAGGAACAGCCAGUCUUCCUGAAUUCAUGAUAAAGUAAGAGGUAGAACCGUGGCCAAUUGUCUUUGGGAGAAAGUGGGAUCAAGGACAACUCCAGGAUUCUGCCUGAGAUGGGA
rnacentral:lncRNA from 10 species